rnacentral:rRNA from 1 species
GAUGAACGCUGGCGGCGUGCCUAAUACAUGCAAGUCGAGCGAACAGACGAGGAGCUUGCUCCUCUGACGUUCGCGGCGGACGGGUGAGUAACACGUGGAUAACCUACCUAUAAGACUGGGAUAACUUCGGGAAACCGGAGCUAAUACCGGAUAACAUGUUGAACCGCAUGGUUCAACAGUGAAAGACGGUCUUGCUGUCACUUAUAGAUGGAUCCGCGCCGCAUUAGCUAGUUGGUAAGGUAACGGCUUACCAAGGCAACGAUGCGUAGCCGACCUGAGAGGGUGAUCGGCCACACUGGAACUGAGACACGGUCCAGACUCCUACGGGAGGCAGCAGUAGGGAAUCUUCCGCAAUGGGCGAAAGCCUGACGGAGCAACGCCGCGUGAGUGAAGAAGGUCUUCGGAUCGUAAAACUCUGUUAUUAGGGAAGAACAAAUGUGUAAGUAACUAUGCACGUCUUGACGGUACCUAAUCAGAAAGCCACGGCUAACUACGUG